UCAGACAGGCCCAGCUCUCCGAACCAUGGUUUUGCAACAUACUCAGCAAACAGCAACUCGCCUGGAGCAGAAGUGAGAAAGAAACACCUCCUCAACCCUAGGCCGUGGAGUGGGUUUUUGCUGUCCACAAGGACCUGUGGGUGUCCCGGCAGAGAAAGGAGGUGGUACUGGCACCAGGCGUUAGGGUGCUAGGGCCUCCUGAGAAGGAGCAGGGCAAUUAGCUGAGAAGGUGGCAGAGGAGCAGGCAGCCUAGAACUGAUUGGGGAAGCCACCAAGAUUACAUCAUCUGCUGCUCGUACCAGAAAGUUCCUCUCAUUUUCUUUCAAUAACAGCAGUUCUAAAAAGAAGAUAUUUUCCAACCUGGACUUGAAGUACCUGGUGGAGAGGCAGCUCUUCCUUUGCAAGAUAUGACCCCAGGCAGACUUCUGCAAAAUGAUGGAAAGCAUGGUAGCCUGAAAGUGUGAGAGAAGCUGAGCUGGCCCCGGGACCUUUGGAAAGGGGCUGUGGCCUGAAGGGGCAUUAAAGGUGUUCAACUUACAAGAGACGACACCACCACCACCACCAACACCCAAAAUGGAGCCUGUGCCUGCUACACUCUAACUCAUGGGUUCUCAGAGGAGAGGGCAGAUAGAUAUCUAUAAGAACACUGAGUUCCUUUAGGGAUGUGGCUUUACAUAAUAACAAACGGCACCCUUUCCCCCUAUUCUUGGAGCCAAGUGAGCUCCUGCAAAGGUCA